GCGGUGUUUAAGGAUGUUCGAAUUUGGAGGUUGUGCCCUUGAGGCGUGGCUUCCGAAGCUAACGCGUUAAAUCGACCGCCUGGGGAGUACGGCCGCAAGGUUAAAACUCAAAUGAAUUGACGGGGGCCCGCACAAGCGGUGGAGCAUGUGGUUUAAUUCGAUGCAACGCGAAGAACCUUACCUACUCUUGACAUCCAGCGAAUCCUGUAGAGAUACGGGAGUGCCUUCGGGAACGCUGAGACAGGUGCUGCAUGGCUGUCGUCAGCUCGUGUUGUGAAAUGUUGGGUUAAGUCCCGCAACGAGCGCAACCCUUAUCCUUUGUUGCCAGCGGUUCGGCCGGGAACUCAAAGGAGACUGCCAGUGAUAAACUGGAGGAAGGUGGGGAUGACGUCAAGUCAUCAUGGCCCUUACGAGUAGGGCUACACACGUGCUACAAUGGCGUAUACAAAGAGAAGCGAACUCGCGAGAGCAAGCGGACCUCAUAAAGUACGUCGUAGUCCGGAUUGGAGUCUGCAACUCGACUCCAUGAAGUCGGAAUCGCUAGUAAUCGUGGAUCAGAAUGCCACGGUGAAUACGUUCCCGGGCCUUGUACACACCGCCCGUCACACCAUGGGAGUGGGUUGCAAAAGAAGUAGGUAGC
rnacentral:rRNA from 1 species